rnacentral:rRNA from 1 species
GACGAACGCUGGCGGCGUGCUUAACACAUGCAAGUCGAACGGAAAGGCCCUGCUUUUGUGGGGUGCUCGAGUGGCGAACGGGUGAGUAACACGUGAGUAACCUGCCCUUGACUUUGGGAUAACUUCAGGAAACUGGGGCUAAUACCGGAUAGGAGCUCCUGCUGCAUGGUGGGGGUUGGAAAGUUUCGGCGGUUGGGGAUGGACUCGCGGCUUAUCAGCUUGUUGGUGGGGUAGUGGCUUACCAAGGCUUUGACGGGUAGCCGGCCUGGGAGGGUGACCGGCCACAUUGGGACUGAGAUAGGGCCCAGACUCCUACGGGAGGCAGCAGUGGGGAAUAUUGCACAAUGGGCGGAAGCCUGAUGCGGCAACGCCGCGUGCGGGAUGACGGCCUUCGGGUUGUAAACCGCUUUCGCCGGUGACGAAGCGUGAGUGACGGUAAUGGGUAAAGAAGCACCGGCUAACUACGUG